rnacentral:rRNA from 1 species
AUUGAACGCUGGCGGCAUGCCUUACACAUGCAAGUCGAACGGCAGCACGGGUGCUUGCACCUGGUGGCGAGUGGCGAACGGGUGAGUAAUACAUCGGAACAUGUCCUGUAGUGGGGGAUAUCCCGGCGAAAGCCGGAUUAAUACCGCAUACGAUCCACGGAUGAAAGCGGGGGACCUUCGGGCCUCGCGCUAUAGGGUUGGCCGAUGGCUGAUUAGCUAGUUGGUGGGGUAAAGGCCUACCAAGGCGACGAUCAGUAGCUGGUCUGAGAGGACGACCAGCCACACUGGGACUGAGACACGGCCCAGACUCCUACGGGAGGCAGCAGUGUGGAAUUUUGGACAAUGGGCGAAAGCCUGAUCCAGCAAUGCCGCGUGUGUGAAGAAGGCCUUCGGGUUGUAAGGCACUUUUGUCCGGAAAGAAAUCCUUGACUCUAAUACAGUCGGGGGAUGACGGUACCGGAAGAAUAAGCACCGGCUAACUACGUG